GUAAUCACCAACAUCUGGCGCCCAACGUGGGGCUCGAGUGAAACCGAAAGGGUUUUGGACCCCAGCAAGAUUGAUCAAAAUCGACAAUGGCUGAUCCCCUUGUUCAGAAAUUUGAAGAGCUUACUAUGCAAAGAAGCCUUACCUCCCGUACAAGGGAAGCAACACCUCCUACAUGGAGUCAAAUGAAGAGGUUGACCCAGGAAGCAGAGAAGACAUUAAUGAAGGCGGGGCAACCUCUGAAUCCUACCAAUCUUUUGCUUGCCAUGAUGGCGGUGGUGACAUGUUAGGUAAUAGAUGUAUCGGCAAGUAAUCAUACAUAUUGGGCAUAUACACCUAAUCCCCCAUUAGUAAGAGCAGUUUCCUAGGGGGAACCAGAAAUGCAAGUAUGUACUAAUGAGACUGCCUUCUUUCCCCCGCCAGCUUGCGGGGGAAUAAAACAACUAUCUUUUCAUAAACAACAAUAUAAUAUUAGUAAUUUGACUAUUGCAGUGGAAGGUAUUCCUUUAUGUACAGGGGGACACCCCUUUUGUCUGUCCACUAAGGAACAUUCGCAUCAUUCUUACAAUACAUGGGGGUAAAUAUAAUAAUUACCAUUUUGCUACUUUUACUGUGCUUGUUUCCACCAGGGGAUUUAGCACCUCGACAGAACCGAUGGAUACUCAUAAUGGAAAACACGUCGCUAUGUCCUGUCAACCUUUUCGUUCCUUCUUUAGAAUCUUGGGAGUGGGAACACUGCUGAGGCCAUCGACCCUUUAAGGCCAUGAAUUAUUCUGGGUCUGUCAUUGUAGAUUGGAGUCCAGAUCAUGGGCAAUUCUUAGAAAAAUGGUCGAAUAAAUCUCUUAGAUGGCAUUGUGCAAAUGGUACUUUUACGGGCAAUGAUAACGAAACAGUUAAAUGGCAGCAAUUUGCACUUGUCCCUCCUCAAUUACAAUUGCAGGGAUAUCCACACAUUCAAGGGGAUAUUUGGAAACUAUGGGCAAUUUCUGGUAAUCUUACUGUUUGGUCAGGAAACUAUACUAUGGAUAGUGACGACUCUUCGAAUCCAUUUCAUGUUAAUUUACAUGUUAAUAGAACUUAUUCCACAAUGGCAUGUGUAAAAUAUCCUUUUGCAUUGUUAUAUGGGAAUUGGACUUGGAAUGAUACUAUGGGGUCUAUGUCAUGUGAUUAUUGUAAUCUAACUCAAUGUGUAAAUCAGUCUUGGUGGAAAGAAUUUGAAAGACGAGUCUAUAACUCUAAUUUCUGUUAGUAAUUGUUAAAGCUCGGACAGAACUAUGGUUGCCUAUAAAUCUGACUCGGCCGUGGUCAGAUUCUUUUGCUGUCUCUCAUCUAGUAACCGCUGUACAGACUUUGCUACACCGAUCUCGACGCAUGCUUGAUAUGGUCAUUGCUUCGAUUCUAGCAGUUGCAUCAGUAACUGCAACAGCAAUGAUAGCAGGCCUCGCGUUACACCAAGGGAUUCAAACAGCUGAUUUUGUUCAGGACUGGCAUAAAGACUCUCAUUUGUUAUGGCAACAACAGCGAGAUUUGGAUGCACAACUUGCUACCAAUGUGCUCAAUCUUCAACACACCGUUUCCUGGCUUGGAGAUCAAUUGGCUGUUUUAUCUACACGAAGUAUGUUGAAAUGUGAUUGGAAUUCCUCUGUUUUGUAUAACAGCUGUACCAUUUAACAUGAGCCCUUCAAGAGAUUAACUGAGACAUAUAAAUAAAAAGAGUUCUAGAUGCCUAUCAUCUAGAGAGAUUCCGCCUAGCCCCUAAGAGGUGGCUGGAUAGCCAAUGACGGGUAAGACCCUCAGAGGAGGGCAACCUAAGACAGGCACAGCCACGAGAGGGACUGGCGAGGCUGGAGGUUGGCCGCCUACAGCUUUACACCUUGCUCUACAGAACAUCAAUAUAAAUGUCUCGAGGGCUUAAAUAAAAUAAAAAAGGGGGAGAUGAAGGGUUAAUGAGGCCACAAUAGGGAAAGUGGAGAUGUGCUGCUUGCAAACAGGAUGUUCUGCCAAGGAGACGGACACAGCCUUGAGAUUAGUGGUCCCUUGCAAACAAGGGAACACUCUCUUCCUUAUCAUUCCCUUCCUGUGAUGGGGAGGAAGAAAGGGCUCUGGACAGACUCUGCAGUAAACCGCAAUUUCACUCCCUUUUGCUGUACGAUAACAAUCAUGCACACACGCUCUACUGAGAAGGCUUCGUCAUACAGUCUGGAAUUCUGCCCAGGGAAGCUAUAUAAAAUAAACCGCAAGCUUGCUUGCGCGGUUCUGUUCCUCUGGC